CUACGGGCUGCACCAGUAAGGAAUAUUGGGCAAUGGACGCAAGUCUGACCCAGCCAUGCCGCGUGAAGGAUGAAGGCCCUCUGGGUUGUAAACUUCUUUUAUCUGGGGCGAAAGGCGGUUAUUCUUAGCCGUUUGACAGUACCAGAGGAAUAAGCACCGGCUAACUCCGUGCCAGCAGCCGCGGUAAUACGGAGGGUGCAAGCGUUAUCCGGAUUCACUGGGUUUAAAGGGUGCGUAGGUGGAUCUGUAAGUCAGAGGUGAAAUCCCCGAGCUUAACUUGGGAACUGCCUUUGAUACUAUAGAUCUUGAAUAUCGUGGAGGUAAGCGGAAUAUGUCAUGUAGCGGUGAAAUGCAUAGAGAUGACAUAGAACACCAAUUGCGAAGGCAGCUUGCUACACGAUGAUUGACACUGAGGCACAAAAGCGUGGGGAGCAAACAGGAUUAGAUACCCGUGUAGUC
rnacentral:rRNA from 1 species